rnacentral:rRNA from 1 species
AUGCCGUUCGGAUUGACGAAUGCCUCGGCCACCUUCCAGUGCUUGAUGAACGCCAUCUUCGCCAAGUAUGUGCGUAAAUUUGUAAUCAUUUUCCUUGACGAUAUCUUAAUCUUCAGUGAGACAUUGGAGGAGCACCUGGAGCAUCUUCGCAUUGUCCUCGACCUGCUGCGGGCUCAUCAGUUAUACGCAAAGGAAUCCAAAUGCUCCUUUGCACAAGACAGCAUCUCCUACCUCGGCCACAUCAUUUCCAAGGACGGCGUGGCCACGGAUCCGGAGAAGACACAGGCCAUGCUGGCUUGGCCUACCCCAACCUCGGCCACCGAGCUCCGUGGCUUCCUCGGCCUCACGGGCUACUACCGCAAGUUUAUCGCGCAUUAUGGCAUCAUUGCCAAGCCGCUGACUAACCUCCUGACCAAGAAAGGUUUUGAUUGGACAGAGCAGGCGCAGGUGGCUUUCGACUUGCUCAAGCGCGCCAUGGUGACCGCGCCCGUGCUGACUCUCCCUGAUUUUGCUCGCCCGUUCGCCAUCGAGACGGAUGCGUGCGACACGGGCGUGGGCGCGGUGCUGGCAUAG